CCUACGGGCGGCAGCAGUGAGGAAUCUUCCACAAUGGACGAAAGUCUGAUGGAGCGACACCGCGUGAAGGAUGACGGUCUAACGAUUGUAAACUUCUUUUCUGAAGGAGCAUAAUGAGAGUACUUCAGGAAUAAGGGACGGCUAAUUACGUGCCAGCAGCCGCGGUAAUACGUAAGUCCCAAGCGUUACUCGAAAUUACUGGGUGUAAAGCGUUUGUAGGCGGAUAGAAAAGUCAGAUAUGAAAGACCGAGGCUCAACCUCGUGUAUGUAUUUGAAACUCUUUAUCUAGAAUCAGGGAGAGGUAAGCGGAAUUCUAAGUGUAGGGGUGCAAUCCGUAGAUACUUAGAAGAACACCAAAAGCGAAGGCAGCUUACUGGAACUCGAUUGACGCUGAGAAACGAAAGCGUGGGGAGCGAAGAGGAUUAGAUACCCCGGUAGUC
rnacentral:rRNA from 1 species